GAUGAACGCUGGCGGCGUGCCUAAUACAUGCAAGUCGAGCGAACAGAUGCGGAGCUUGCUCCUCUGACGUUAGCGGCGGACGGGUGAGUAACACGUGGAUAACCUACCUAUAAGACUGGGAUAACUUCGGGACACCGGAGCUAAUACCGGAUAAUAUAUUGAACCGCAUGGUUGAAUAGUGAAAGACGGUUCUUCUGUCACUUCUAGAUGGAUCCGCGCCGCAUUAGCUAGUUGGUAAGGUAACGGCUUACCAAGGCAACGAUGCGUAGCCGACGUGAGAGGGUGAUCGGCCACACGGGAACUGAGACACGGUCAAGACUCCUACGGGGGGCAGCAGUAGGGAAUCUUCCGCAAUGGGCGAAAGCCUGACGGAGCAACGCCGCGUGAGUGAUGAAGGUGUUCGGAUCGUAAAACUCUGUUAUUAGGGAAGAACAAAUGUGUAAGUAACUGUGCACGUCUUGACGGUACCUAAUCAGAAAGCCACGGCUAACUACGUG
rnacentral:rRNA from 1 species